GCACGGCUGAAGAGUCGCAUAAUAAGACGAAAUAACCGUCCAGUAA
rnacentral:hammerhead_ribozyme from 1 species